UCAGUACCCUGUGACGGAAACGAUUCGUUUCCUCUAUGUAUUAAUCGGAUUUUUGAACUUGGAGUACGGUGCUGGAGCUUGCUCCACCCUGCUCAUGGGUUGUCCUGGUAUUGCAUUGCCUCCAGGUUCGGCUCACGUAUC
rnacentral:snRNA from 1 species